rnacentral:rRNA from 1 species
AACACGUGAGUAACCUGCCCUUGACUCUGGGAUAAGCCUGGGAAACUGGGUCUAAUACCGGAUACGACCAUCUGGCGCAUGUCAUGGUGGUGGAAAGCUUUUGUGGUUUUGGAUGGACUCGCGGCCUAUCAGCUUGUUGGUGGGGUAAUGGCCUACCAAGGCGACGACGGGUAGCCGGCCUGAGAGGGUGACCGGCCACACUGGGACUGAGACACGGCCCAGACUCCUACGGGAGGCAGCAGUGGGGAAUAUUGCACAAUGGGCGAAAGCCUGAUGCAGCGACGCCGCGUGAGGGAUGACGGCCUUCGGGUUGUAAACCUCUUUCAGUAGGGAAGAAGCGAAAGUGACGGUACCUGCAGAAGAAGCGCCGGCUAACUACGUGCCAGCAGCCGCGGUAAUACGUAGGGCGCAAGCGUUAUCCGGAAUUAUUGGGCGUAAAGAGCUCGUAGGCGGUUUGUCGCGUCUGCCGUGAAAGUCCGGGGCUCAACCCCGGAUCUGCGGUGGGUACGGGCAGACUAGAGUGAUGUAGGGGAGACCGGAAUUCCUGGUGUAGCGGUGAAAUGCGCAGAUAUCAGGAGG